rnacentral:rRNA from 1 species
GUGUCAGCAGCCGCGGUAAUACGUAGGGGGCAAGCGUUGUCCGGAUUCAUUGGGCGUAAAGCGCGUGUAGGCGGUUCGGCAGGUCCGAUGUGAAAACUCGAUGGCUCAACCUCGAGACGUCAUUGGAAACCGCCGGGCUAGAGUCCGGGAGAGGAGAGUGGAAUUCCUGGUGUAGCGGUGAAAUGCGCAGAUAUCAGGAAGAACACCAAUGGCGAAGGCAGCUCUCUGGAACGGUACUGACGCUGAGACGCGAAAGCGUGGGGAGCGAACAGGAUUAGAUACCCUGGUAGUCCACGCCGUAAACGAUGGGCGCUAGGUGUGGGUGGUGUCGACUCCAUCCGUGCCGAAGCUAACGCAUUAAGCGCCCCGCCUGGGGAGUACGGCCGCAAGGCUAAA